UUUGAAUGUAAAAAUGUUAAAGUUCUUAUUUCAUGGUAUAACUUUGGUAUGCUUGGACCUAGAGUCUUCAAACUUGACAUGAAGGUUGGCCAGGAUUAACAGAUGACCACUGGUCAUUUCAAGGUCAUUUAUUUGAAGGUAAAGGUCACUGUGACCUUCAAUAUAAAAAUGUUAAAGUUGUUAUAACUUUGGUAUGCUUGGACCUAGAGUCUUGAAACUUGACAUGAAGGUUGGCCAGAACUAGUAAGUAACCACUGGACAUUUCAAGGUCAUUCAUUUGAAGGUCAAGGUCACUGUGACCUUGAAUGUAAAAAUGUUAAAGUUGUUAUAACUUUGGUAUGCUUGGACCUAGAGUCUUGAAACUUGACAUGAAGGUUGGCCAGAACUAGUAAGUAACCACUGGACAUUUCAAGGUCAUUCAUUUGAAGGUCAAGGUCACUGUGACCUUGAAUGUAAAAAUGUUAAAGUUCUUAUUUCAUGUUAUAACUUUGGUAUGCUUGUACCUAGAGUCUUCAAACUUGAAAUAAAGAUUGGCCAGUACUAGAAGAUGACCACUGGUCAUUUCAAUGUCAUUCAUUUGAAGGUCAAGGUCACUGUGACCUUAAAUGUUAAAAUGUUAAAAUUGUUAUAACUUUGGUAUGCUUGGACAUAGAGUCUUCAAACUUGACAUGAAGGUUUGCAAGCACACUUAGAUGACCACUGGUCAUUUCAAGGUCAUUCAUUCUAAGGUCAAGGUCACUGUGACCUUGAAUGUAAAAAUGUUAAAGUUCUUAUAACUGGUGUGAUAGAAACCUUUUGGAGUGAUCAUAAGGCUGUCUGGAUUUCUGUGUAGGUAUGUGAAAGCAAAACAAUAAAUAGUAUUAUUUCAUCUAAGUUUAUUUUCUUACAUUUGAUAAUGAAAUUGAUGGAAACUUCAAACAAUAUCUUACUAAUUUGCUAAUAAAAAAAUUGAGAUCAAACUUU